rnacentral:rRNA from 1 species
AUUGAACGCUGGCGGCAGGCCUAACACAUGCAAGUCGAACGAGUGGCGGACGGGUGAGUAAUGUCUGGGAAACUGCCUGAUGGAGGGGGAUAACUACUGGAAACGGUAGCUAAUACCGCAUACCAUCGGAUGUGCCCAGAUGGGAUUAGCUAGUAGGUGGGGUAAAGGCUCACCUGGGCGACUAUCCCUAGCUGGUCUGAGAGGGUGACCAGACACACUGGAACUGAGAGACGGUCCAGACGCCUACGUGAGGCAGCAGUGGGGAAUAUUGCACAAUGGGCGCAAGCGUGAUGCAGCCAUGCCGCGUUUAUGAAGAAGGCUGUCGGGUUGUAAAGUGCUGUCAGCGGGGAGGCGUUACCCGCAGAGAAAGCGCCGGCUAACUCCGUGCCAGCCGCCGCGGUAAUAC